UAAUACGGAGGGGGCAAGCGUUGUUCGGAAUUACUGGGCGUAAAGCGCGCGUAGGCGGUUUUUCAAGUUAGGCGUGAAAGCCCUGGGCUCAACCCGGGAAUUGCGCUUAAUACUGGAUGACUUGAGGCCGGGAGAGGGUAGUGGAAUUCCCAGUGUAGAGGUGAAAUUCGUAGAUAUUGGGAAGAACACCAGUGGCGAAGGCGGCUACCUGGACCGGUACUGACGCUGAUGCGCGAAAGCGUGGGGAGCAAACAGGAUUAGAUACCCUGGUAGUCCACGCCGUAAACGAUGAGUGCUAGAUGUUGGGGGACUUAGUUCCUCAGUGUCGAAGCUAACGCGAUAAGCACUCCGCCUGGGGAGUACGGCCGCAAGGUUAAAACUUAAAUGAAUUGACGG
rnacentral:rRNA from 1 species